UGGGGAAUACUGGACAAUGAGCAAACGCUUGAUCCGGCAAUGUUAAACGAAUGAAGUGAAGGUAAUGAGCUGUAAAAUUCAUAGAGCUAAUUUACGAUAUAAUGAAUAAAUUAGUAAAGCCCCGACUAACUUCGUGCCAGCAGUCGCGGUAAUACGGGGGGGGCAAGUGUUACUCAUCAUGACUAGGCGUAAAGGGUGUUACGACCGCUAGGGGUUGUUCUAGUACAAAUAUUAAUUGAAUUAUUGAUAUUACUAAAUAAACAAUUUAGCUUGAGUAGUUUGGAGAAUAGAGUUACUAUUUUUUAAGGGGUAGAAUCCAACGAGAAGAUUAGGAGAAACAAAGGCGAAAGCAACUAUUUAUGAUCGACUGACGUUGAAACACUAAAGCGUGGGGAGCAAA
rnacentral:rRNA from 1 species